UUGCACGCUGGCGGCAGGCCUAACACAUGCCAGUCGAGCGGAUGAAGGGAGCUUGCUCCUUGAUUCAGCGGCGGACGGGUGAGUAAUGCCUAGGAAUCUGCCUGGUAGUGGGGGAUAACGUCCGGAAACGGGCGCUAAUACCGCAUACGUCCUGAGGGAGAAAGUGGGGGAUCUUCGGACCUCACGCUAUCAGAUGAGCCUAGGUCGGAUUAGCUAGUUGGUGGGGUAAAGGCCUACCAAGGCGACGAUCCGUAACUGGUCUGAGAGGAUGAUCAGUCACACUGGAACUGAGACACGGUCCAGACUCCUACGGGAGGCAGCAGUGGGGAAUAUUGGACAAUGGGCGAAAGCCUGAUCCAGCCAUGCCGCGUGUGUGAAGAAGGUCUUCGGAUUGUAAAGCACUUUAAGUUGGGAGGAAGGGCAGUAAGUUAAUACCUUGCUGUUUUGACGUUACCAACAGAAUAAGCACCGGCUAACUUCGUG
rnacentral:rRNA from 1 species